GCCGGGCGGGGUGGUGCACGCUUGUGACCCCAGCGGCUGGGGAGGCUGAGGCAGGAGGAUUAAGAGAGUUCAAGGCCAGCCUCGGCCACAGCGAGGCCCUAAGCAGCUCAGUGAGACCCUGUCUCUA
rnacentral:sRNA from 1 species